AUUGAACGCUGGCGGCAUGCUUUAUACAUGCAAGUCGAACGGUAACAGGCCUUCGUUUGCUGACGAGUGGCGGACGGGUACGUAAUGGUUCGGAACGUACCCACUGGCUGGGGGUAACGCAGCGCAAGCUGUGAUAAUACCGAAUGUGGUCUGAGGAUUAAAACGGGGGACCGAACAGCAAAGAUUGGCCUCGGCCCUUUUGAGCGGCCGAUGUCGGAUUUGUUAGUUGGUUGGGUAAAGGCCUACCAAGGCCACGAACCGUAGCUGGCCUGAGAGGAGGACCGGCCACACGGGAACUGAGACACGGCCCAGACUCCUACGGGAGGCAGCAGUGGGGAAUUUUGGACAAUGGGCGCAAGCCUGACCCAGCAAUGCCGCGUGCGGGAAGAAGGCCUUCGGGUUGUAAAACGCUUUUGGCAGGAACGAAACGGUGUCCGCUAAAACCGGGAGCUAAUGACGGUACCUGCAGAGUAAGCACCGGCUAACUACGUG
rnacentral:rRNA from 1 species